rnacentral:rRNA from 1 species
CGCGUAGGCGGGUUGUUAAGUGAGAUGUGAAAUCCCCGGGCUUAACCUGGGAACUGCAUCUUAUACUGGCGAUCUAGAGUUUUGUAGAGGGUAGUGGAAUUUCCGGUGUAGCGGUGAAAUGCGUAGAGAUCGGAAGGAACAUCAGUGGCGAAGGCGGCUACCUGGACAAAAACUGACGCUGAGGCGCGAAAGCGUGGGGAGCAAACAGGAUUAGAUACCCUGGUAGUCCACGCUGUAAACGAUGAGAACUGGAUGUUGGCAGGCAAGACCUGUUGGUAUCGAAGCUAACGCGAUAAGUUCUCCGCCUGGGGAGUACGGCCGCAAGGUUAAA